rnacentral:siRNA from 1 species
UGUUAAAGGGAGAACUGCGAGG